rnacentral:rRNA from 1 species
UACGUAGGGUGCGAGCGUUAAUCGGAAUUACUGGGCGUAAAGCGUGCGCAGGCGGUUUUGUAAGCCAGAUGUGAAAGCCCCGGGCUUAACCUGGGAAUGGCAUUUGGGACUGCAAGGCUGGAGUGUGGCAGAGGAGACUGGAAUUCCUGGUGUAGCAGUGAAAUGCGUAGAUAUCAGGAGGAAUACCGAUGGCGAAGGCAGGUCUCUGGGCUGACACUGACGCUCAUGCACGAAAGCGUGGGGAGCAAGCAGG